CCCAGCAACUGGUGUUUUAUGAAUGCUGGUGUUUUGGAUGCUAUCUGAAUAUUGUAAUGAAAACAGAAACAGCGCCAACUGAACACGCUUCCCCGCUUUCUCUCAGUCCAGCUUAGGGCCGUCUCCCAGCGACAGACCUGAAUCACUAGUUUGCAGACCCCUUUGUGCUAACUGGCACUAUGGGACCACCCCACCACCUACCGUCCUGCUCGGCAACGAGGACAGAAUAUCGGAUCUGAAGCAUCUGGGCCAGCCCAAGAUAAAGGACAUGGGCAUAGAGCAACAAGCCUGCCUAGACAAGAACAUGGCGCCAGACACCACACGGGGGUGCUCGCACUAAGACGACGAGAGUCCCGUUCCAGGCGCGUUAAUUAGGCCAAACAGGCAGGUCCCCCUUCCUGUGCGGCUGGGCAUGAGUCUGCUGAUCUAGGGGCCAGACAUGUGCAAGCCGCUUGGAGGCGGGGUGCGGGUGGCCAGAAGGCCCAGUGCCCGUGGAGGCCAGGGUCCCCCGCAGCCCAAGGGCUCGUGAGGCCGGGGUGGGGAACGCUGUCGAGGCUUCACAGUGGAGAGGAAAUUCUUCGCCCCAGCUAAGAGCGCUUCCUAACGCCAUGUCUAGAAGGAAGACACUUCGCGAGACCUCAACCCAGGCCACACGAGGCCACGAGGGGGCAGCAGAGGACUCAACCUGAGACUUAAAAAAAAAGGAAAGAAAACAGAAAAACAGGUCGAGAAACGGAAAGGGAUUCACUUGGGAAAUAUCGUCAGUUGCCUUCGGUGUAUUCAAAGUUAGCAUACACGACGCAGUCUCGAUGAGAAUAACGUUGUCCCCCGCCCCCCCCAUAGGCUCGAGGUGCCCGUGAAGCCACCCAACACGAACUGUCUCUUCACUGGGCAAAACCAAGAGAAAAGGGGGGUCAUGACCCCUAAAGGCUGACGUCAGCAGGGGCCUUGUCACAAUCUCUUUUUUGUUAAGUUCUGAUUCAAAUAAAUUGGUGACCUCCAUAGAGGCUGCCAGAUGGGUGCAGACGGGGUGGUCACUAGGAGCAUGGCCGAAACGCAGAAGCUGUUCCGGAGCAGCCAGGACUCCUGGCCGGCCAGCGUGGAGGGGGAGUCGAGAGAAACGCAGAAAGCUCAGUUUCGGCUUGCAGCAGGCAAAAGCACUUAUAAACACGCGGAUCAAACCGGAGUUCCAGGAUGGCCUGGUCUACAAUGGCAAGUUCCAGGCAGCCAAUAAGAAGAUAAGCGAGCCCCGGCAUCUAAGGGAUCUUAAUAACUUACAAUGAGCGAAGCCCCUUGUCAGUUACUUUGGACAAUAAAUGAGAAAUAAAACCA